rnacentral:rRNA from 1 species
UCUGGCAAUUAUGGCGAGAAGGUCACACCCGUUCCCAUACCGAACACGGAAGUUAAGCUUCUCAGCGCCGAUGGUAGUUGGAACGCAAGUCCCUGUGAGAGUAGGACAUUGCCAGGC